rnacentral:rRNA from 1 species
CGGCGUGCCUAAUACAUGCAAGUAGAACGCUGAAGAGAGGAGCUUGCUCUUCUUGGAUGAGUUGCGAACGGGUGAGUAACGCGUAGGUAACCUGCCUUGUAGCGGGGGAUAACUAUUGGAAACGAUAGCUAAUACCGCAUAACAAUGGAUGACACAUGUCAUUUAUUUGAAAGGGGCAAUUGCUCCACUACAAGAUGGACCUGCGUUGUAUUAGCUAGUAGGUGAGGUAACGGCUCACCUAGGCGACGAUACAUAGCCGACCUGAGAGGGUGAUCGGCCACACUGGGACUGAGACACGGCCCAGACUCCUACGGGAGGCAGCAGUAGGGAAUCUUCGGCAAUGGGGGCAACCCUGACCGAGCAACGCCGCGUGAGUGAAGAAGGUUUUCGGAUCGUAAAGCUCUGUUGUAAGUCAAGAACGAGUGUGAGAGUGGAAAGUUCACACUGUGACGGUAGCUUACCAGAAAGGGACGGCUAACUACGUGCCAGCAGCCGCGGUAAUACGUAGGUCCCGAGCGUUGUCCGGAUUUAUUGGGCGUAAAGCGAGCGCAGGCGGUUUGAUAAGUCUGAAGUUAAAGGCUGUGGCUCAACCAUAGUUCGCUUUGGAAACUGUCAAACUUGAGUGCAGAAGGGGAGAGUGGAAUUCCAUGUGUAGCGGUGAAAUGCGUAGAUAUAUGGAGGAACACCGGUGGCGAAAGCGGCUCUCUGGUCUGUAACUGACGCUGAGGCUCGAAAGCGUGGGGAGCGAACAGGAUUAGAUACCCUGGUAGUCCACGCCGUAAACGAUGAGUGCUAGGUGUUGGAUCCUUUCCGGGAUUCAGUGCCGCAGCUAACGCAUUAAGCACUCCGCCUGGGGAGUACGACCGCAAGGUUGAAACUCAAAGGAAUUGACGGGGGCCCGCACAAGCGGUGGAGCAUGUGGUUUAAUUCGAAGCAACGCGAAGAACCUUACCAGGUCUUGACAUCCCGAUGCUAUUUCUAGAGAUAGAAAGUUACUUCGGUACAUCGGUGACAGGUGGUGCAUGGUUGUCGUCAGCUCGUGUCGUGAGAUGUUGGGUUAAGUCCCGCAACGAGCGCAACCUCUAUUGUUAGUUGCCAUCAUUCAGUUGGGCACUCUAGCGAGACUGCCGGUAAUAAACCGGAGGAAGGUGGGGAUGACGUCAAAUCAUCAUGCCCCUUAUGACCUGGGCUACACACGUGCUACAAUGGUUGGUACAACGAGUUGCGAGUCGGUGACGGCAAGCUAAUCUCUUAAAGCCAAUCUCAGUUCGGAUUGUAGGCUGCAACUCGCCUACAUGAAGUCGGAAUCGCUAGUAAUCGCGGAUCAGCACGCCGCGGUGAAUACGUUCCCGGGCCUUGUACACACCGCCCGUCACACCACGAGAGUUUGUAACACCCGAAGUCGGUGAGGUAACCUUUUGGAGCCAGCCGCCUAAGGUGGGAUAGAUGAUUGGGGUG